rnacentral:lncRNA from 1 species
GUGUUUCCACUUGUAGUCCCUUUCCAGUCCCGACGAAAAUCGUGUACUACUCUCGCUCAAAUCACUCAUUUUUUUCUGAUGCAAAUAUUUGGAAAGAAAUUGUUAUUCUCGAUUCUGAAUUAGGUAUUGAAGGUGUAGAAAUGCAAGCUAAUCCAAUUACCAGGAUUUUCAGUGCAAUCGUCCUCUCUUUACCUACCCGGUAAGUCUUUUGCUCCAAACUUGUAUUACGAUUUUUUUCUUGGUUUUUUAAUGUGUUAUUUCAGAGCUUCAUAAGCUUUUAUAUACCUUGAAUGGAGAUGAAUACGCAUAUAUAUACGUAUAUGGUAUAUGUUUAUGUGUGUUGAACUAUUGAAGCAUUCAUUUGACGGUAUACUAUUUUUAUGCUGCAUUUCAUAAGUGCAUAUUAUUCGAGGACCCUGUUCACUUUGAUCAAUUAUUAUCGAUUUUCCUUUUUCUCUUGUUAACUUUUCUUAGGCAAAAGUCUAAUUAGUAAUAAUGGUGACUUCUCUUUGAAUUUUAAGUUUCUGCUUAUGUCUAGAAUCACCAAAGGCAUAUGAGGUAAGUAAAAGUAUUAAAUUGACCUUUCUAAGUGAGAUUUCAAAUAAAAAUGAAGCAUUUUAAACUGCCUUCAUCUUUUCGGUGUUGCAUGUGACUCUGCGAAUUUCUGGAGAAUUGAUCAUUGUGGCUUAUUUUUAAUGAAACCUAUGACAAGCGUAUUAACAAAAUAAGCCUACUGAUGAAAAGGAUAGAAACAGGGUUACCUUAUGUCAUGAAGAUCGUGUAAGUUAGGAUCAUAGUUAACAAUGUCCUGUUUCUGGCAAAUCAGUUUUUUUGACCUAUUGCUUCCUUGUUAACUGGGUUUUUGGUCUGUGGUGAGUGCAGCCAAUAUAUUUUUCUCAACUUAUGAUUGGCGUUCACUGCAUUAAUAUCAUGGAACACAUGUUGAAGUUUUGAGCUGGA